rnacentral:snoRNA from 1 species
UGGUAGGUCAGAGAGGAGAGAGUCUAUAUCUAUUCUCAAUGUUCUGACCUGGAAACAUAUGAAUGUUUAGUAGUCUAACACC